AGAGUUUGAUCCUGGCUCAGGACGAACGCUGGCGGCGUGCUUAACACAUGCAAGUCACGGGGGCCCGCAAGGGCAACCGGCGAACGGGUGCGUAACACGUGAACAACCUGCCCUCGUGUGGGGGAUAGCCGGGCUAACGCCCGGGUAAUACCGCAUACGUUCCCUUGGAGGAGUCUCUGGGGGAGGAAAGCUCCGGCGCACGGGGAGGGGUUCGCGGCCUAUCAGCUAGUUGGCGGGGUAAUGGCCCACCAAGGCGACGACGGGUAGCUGGUCUGAGAGGAUGGCCAGCCACAUUGGGACUGAGAGACGGCCCAGACUCCUACGGGAGGCAGCAGUGGGGAAUCUUGCGCAAUGGUCGAAAGACUGACGCAGCGACGCCGCGUGUGGGAGGACGCCUUUCGGGGUGUAAACCACUGUUGCCCGGGACGAACUGCUCGAUUCGUCGAGCUUGACGGUACCGGGUGAGGAAGCACCGGCUAACUCCGUGCCAGCCGCCGCGGUAAUAC
rnacentral:rRNA from 1 species